rnacentral:rRNA from 1 species
UACGUAGGGACGCAGCGUUGUCCGGAAUUACUGGGCGUAAAGAGCUCGUAGGUGGUUUGUCGCGUUGUUCGUGAAAACUCACAGCUUAACUGUGGGCGUGCGGGCGAUACGGGCAGACUUGAGUACUGCAGGGGAGACUGGAAUUCCUGGUGUAGCGGUGGAAUGCGCAGAUAUCAGGAGGAACACCGGUGGCGAAGGCGGGUCUCUGGGCAGUAACUGACGCUGAGGAGCGAAAGCGUGGGGAGCGAACAGG